rnacentral:lncRNA from 1 species
AUGUCUGGAAGAAGGGGCAGUUUUUUCUCACUGCCUCUGACCCCACUGGGGCCCCAGUGGGCUGAUGGAGCCACUGAGACGUUUCCUCCUGGGCCAGUGAAAAGAGGAGACUCAGGCUCCACGGGUGAGUCAUUGGCCCAGGGGCAUCUCCAGGACAGAACCCAGGUUGGCCUGCCUCUGGCCCUUGCCCCGGCUGUGUGCCCCCCAGCCUCGGGUCUACCCACCAGACAGAGAACAGGCCCAAGCAGUACCCUGGAAGGCUGGGGAGUGUUAGUGGGAGGAGGCAGGGGGACUUCCUCCCUAAUAAGCCCAAGGUCUCCUCCCCCAGCCCUGGGGUGGGCACCCUGGGUCAGCAGAGGUGUCAGUCCUCCUGGGCACCGGCCACAGCACUGGGAACCAGGGCUCCAAGGGUGGCAACUCAGUUCUUCUUGGCUGCCUCCGACUCUGCCUCCUGUUGUCCUGGCUACCCUAGCCAAGCCCAUUAAUCACCUUCACUUGCCAAUCCCCCAGGAAUGUGGCGGUCUCAUAAAAGUCAGCCCUGGGUUAAACAAACAAACCAACCUGGAGGCCUCUAAGUCAGCUGCAGAGGCUCCACCAGGUUUCUGGCCUCUUUCCUCUGCUCGGCACGCAGCACCCCACCCCACCCCUGCUGCACCUACCACCACUGAGAUCUCAGAGCCACCCUCCCACACACACCCCAGAACUAGGAGGGAAAGGUGUUAUCCAGUGAAACCACCUUUAGAUUGGGGAGUGGGUGCCCAGAAGUCUGAAAACUGCCUCCCCCUGCCCAGGGCCUCCCCUCUCCACCUGCUCCCACCCCACCACCAUCUGUGGCACCCACUCUUCCUCAGGACUCGCAGGGCAUAUUUGGCGUCUAGCACCCCACUCCCCAAUCCAGGGCUCUGCAAACCACCUUUCAUCCUACCCAAACCACCUCUCAUCCUAGCCUGUCCCCACCCUCGAGGGAACAGGACGUGGCUCUGGGGAGAUUUCCCUAUGGAAGUGAAGAGGCCAGAGGAGUUGGGGCCACUGGGAGGCUCUGGGGGUAAGUCUCUUCCUGCCCCCAUCCUACCCUCUUCCACCCCCUCCUCAAUUCCUAGGACUCAGCACCAGUAA